GCGAGGGUCAGAGACGGAGGAGAGAGCGAGGGUCAGAGACUGGGGAGAGAGCGAGGGUCAGAGACUGGGGAGAGAGCGAGGGUCAGAGACGGGGGAGAGAGCGAGGGAGAGAGCGAGGGUCAGAGACGGGGGAGAGAGCGAGGGUCAGAGACGGGGAGAGAGCGAGGGUCAGAGACGGGGGAGAGAGCGAGGGUCAGAGACGGGGGAGAGAGCGAGGGUCAGAGACGGGGAGAGAGCGAGGGUCAGAGACGGGGGAGAGAGCGAGGGUCAGAGA
ensembl:lncRNA